rnacentral:rRNA from 2 species
UACGUAGGUGGCGAGCGUUGUCCGGAUUUAUUGGGUUUAAAGGGUGCGUAGGCGGUCCUAUAAGUCAGUGGUGAAAUAUCGCAGCUUAACUGUGAGGGUGCCAUUGAUACUGUAGGACUUGAGUGAAUUUGAGGUAGGCGGAAUUGACGGUGUAGCGGUGAAAUGCUUAGAUAUCGUCAAGAACACCGAUAGUGAAGACAGCUUACCAAGCUUCAACUGACGCUGAGGCACGAAAGUGUGGGGAUCAAACAGG